rnacentral:sRNA from 1 species
GCCAGGUGUGAUGGCACAUGCCUAUAGUCCCACCUACUUGGGAGGCUGAGGUGGGAGGAUCCUUUGAGCUCAGGAGUUUCAGGCCAGCCUGGGCCACAGAGAGAGACCCCAGCUCAA